AGGACUAACGCUGGCGGCGUGCCUAACACAUGCAAGUCGAACGAAGUAGCAAUACUUAGUGGCAGACGGGUGAGUAACACGUAGUCAACCUGCCCUUCAAUGGGGGAUAACUAGCCGAAAGGUUAGCUAAUACCGCAUACGAUCUCUGAGUGGCAUCACUCGGCGAUGAAAGGAGUAAUCCGUUGAAGGAGGGGACUGCGUCCCAUUAGUUAGUUGGUGGGGUAAUGGCCUACCAAGACUCCGAUGGGUAGCUGGCUUGAGAGAGCGACCAGCCACACUGGAACUGAGACACGGUCCAGACUCCUACGGAGGCAGCAGUGAGGAAUUUUCCGCAAUGGGGGAAACCCUGACGGAGCGACGCCGCGUGUGGGAAGAAGGCCUUCGGGUCGUAACCACUGUCGAGGGGACGAGUAUUGACGGUACCCCUGGAGGAAGCCCGGCUAACUACGCGCCAGCAGCCGC
rnacentral:rRNA from 1 species